rnacentral:rRNA from 1 species
GACAGAGGAUGGCAAGCGUUAUCCGGAAUGAUUGGGCGUAAAGCGUCUGUAGGUGGCUUUUAAGUCCGCCGUCAAAUCCCAGGGCUCAACCCUGGACAGGCCGGUGGAAACUACCAAGCUGGAGUACGGUAGGGGCAGAGGGAAUUUCCGGUGGAGCGGUGAAAUGCGUAGAGAUCGGAAAGAACACCAACGGCGAAAGGCACAUCUGCUGGGCCGACACUGACACUGAGAGACGAAAGCUAGGGGAGCGAAUGGG